rnacentral:rRNA from 1 species
AACGAACGCUGGCGGCAUGCCUAAUACAUGCAAGUCGAACGAUCUCUUCGGAGGUAGCGGCGCACGGGUGCGUAACGCGUGGGAAUCUGCCCUUGGGUUCGGAAUAACGUCGGGAAACUGACGCUAAUACCGGAUGAUGACGUAAGUCCAAAGAUUUAUCGCCCAAGGAUGAGCCCGCGUAGGAUUAGCUAGUUGGUGGGGUAAAGGCCCACCAAGGCGACGAUCCUUAGCUGGUCUGAGAGGAUGAUCAGCCACACUGGGACUGAGACACGGCCCAGACUCCUACGGGAGGCAGCAGUAGGGAAUAUUGGACAAUGGGGGCAACCCUGAUCCAGCAAUGCCGCGUGAGUGAUGAAGGCCUUAGGGUUGUAAAGCUCUUUUACCCGGGAUGAUAAUGACAGUACCGGGAGAAUAAGCCCCGGCUAACUCCGUGCCAGCCGCCGCCGUAAGAC